rnacentral:rRNA from 1 species
GACGAACGCUGGCGGCGUGCUUAAUACAUGCAAGUCGAGCGAAUGGAUUAAGAGCUUGCUCUUAUGAAGUUAGCGGCGGACGGGUGAGUAACACGUGGGUAACCUGCCCAUAAGACUGGGAUAACUCCGGGAAACCGGGGCUAAUACCGGAUAACAUUUUGAACCGCAUGGUUCGAAAUUGAAAGGCGGCUUCGGCUGUCACUUAUGGAUGUACCCGCGUCGCAUUAGCUAGUUGGUGAGGUAACGGCUCACCAAGGCAACGAUGCGUAGCCGACCUGAGAGGGUGAUCGGCCACACUGGGACUGAGACACGGCCCAGACUCCUACGGGAGGCAGCAGUAGGGAAUCUUCCGCAAUGGACGAAAGUCUGACGGAGCAACGCCGCGUGAGUGAUGAAGGCUUUCGGGUCGUAAAACUCUGUUGUUAGGGAAGAACAAGUGCUAGUUGAAUAAGCUGACACCUUGACGGUACCUAACCAGAAAGCCACGGCUAACUACGUGCCAGCCGCCGCAGUAA